CGAUUUAAGGGCCGAACCAAAAUGGAAAGGUGUUUGACAGUCAUCUAUUGUUUUAAAUGGGUUCCACUGGGUUUCUUUGUUUUGUGGGUGCCUAUAAGAAGAUGAAUCUCAAGAGACACAAGAGGCAGCAGAUGCUAGAAUCUGAAGCUG